rnacentral:rRNA from 1 species
CCUACGGGCGGCUGCAGUGGGGAAUAUUGGACAAUGGGCGAAAGCCUGAUCCAGCCAUGCCGCGUGUGUGAAGAAGGCCUUCGGGUUGUAAAGCACUUUCAGUGGGGAAGAAAGCCUUGGGGCUAAUACCCUCGAGGAAGGACAUCACCCACAGAAGAAGCACCGGCUAACUCCGUGCCAGCAGCCGCGGUAAUACGGAGGGUGCGAGCGUUAAUCGGAAUUACUGGGCGUAAAGCGCGCGUAGGCGGUCUUGUAAGCCGGUUGUGAAAGCCCCGGGCUCAACCUGGGAACGGCAUCCGGAACUGUCAGGCUAGAGUGCAGGAGAGGAAGGUAGAAUUCCCGGUGUAGCGGUGAAAUGCGUAGAGAUCGGGAGGAAUACCAGUGGCGAAGGCGGCCUUCUGGACUGACACUGACGCUGAGGUGCGAAAGCGUGGGUAGCAAACAGGAUUAGAUACCCGAGUAGUC